rfam:Chaetura pelagica isolate M959 contig49621, whole genome shotgun sequence.
CCUUCGCUUUAACAUGGAGGUACCUGCUGCCUAAAAAAGUAAGUGCUUCCAUGUUUCAGUGGAGG